GACGAACGCUGGCGGCGUGCUUAACACAUGCAAGUCGAACGAAGAGCGAUGGAAGCUUGCUUCUAUCAAUCUUAGUGGCGAACGGGUGAGUAACGCGUAAUCAACCUGCCCUUCAGAGGGGGACAACAGUUGGAAACGACUGCUAAUACCGCAUACGAUCCAAUCUCGGCAUCGAGGAUGGAUGAAAGGUGGCCUCUAUUUAUAAGCUAUCACUGAAGGAGGGGAUUGCGUCUGAUUAGCUAGUUGGAGGGGUAACGGCCCACCAAGGCGAUGAUCAGUAGCCCGUCUGAGAGGAUGAGCGGCCACAUUGGGACUGAGACACGGCCCAGACUCCUACGGGGGGCAGCAGUGGGGAAUCUUGCGCAAUGGACGAAAGUCUGACGGAGCAACGCCGCGUGAGGGAUGACGGCCUUCGGGUUGUAAAGCUCGGUUAAUCGGGACGAAAGGUCCUCUUGCGAAUAGUUAGAGGAAUUGACGGUACCGGAAUAGAAAGCCACGGCUAACUACGUG
rnacentral:rRNA from 1 species